UACGUAGGGUGCAAGCGUUAAUCGGAAUUACUGGGCGUAAAGCGUGCGCAGGCGGUUUUGUAAGUCAGUUGUGAAAUCCCCGGGCUCAACCCGGGAACUGCUUCUGAUACUGGCGGACUUGAGGCCAGUAGGGGUCACUAGAACUGACGGUGGAGCGGUGAAAUGCGUAGAUAUCGUCAGGAAUGCCGGUGGUGAAGACGGGUGACUGGGCUGGUUCUGACACUGAGGCACGAAAGCGUGGGGAGCGAACGGG
rnacentral:rRNA from 1 species